UUUUGGCCAUAUAAAGUGAUUACAUUGAAAGUUAAAUUCUGAUUAAACAGGUCGGAAUGGCCGCCGGAAUCUCUUUUUCGUGAUCCGUACAGUCAAUUUCCGCAUAUUUGGCAGCAAGCAGCGGGGGAUUGGAGGAAGUGACAGAGGGAGGAUUUCAAUCCCAGCAAGGCCACGAAUUGGAGCUGCUACGAGCAGAAGCUUGAGCUGAAGCCCGCAAGAAAAUCACCGACCAGGCAGAGGAGACAGAAACCCUGCACAUUUCCCUGCACGAAUCCGGAUCCCCUUUGAUCCAAACAUUGCUGCCUGGGAAAUCCAAGACUCACCGAAUCCAGAAGAUCGAUUGAGCUCCAGCAACAGCCGCAGUACCAGCUCCAAGGCCGCGAUAUCGAGGCGUGAGGCGGGCCUUCCUGUACCGGAAUAGGUUCGGCGAGCCAGAAUAUUCACUACCGGCAGCUUAAUAUAAUCAUAAUUCAUUAGCUUAAUA
rnacentral:lncRNA from 1 species